GAUGAACGCUGGCGGCGUGCCUAAUACAUGCAAGUCGAGCGAACAGAUGAGGAGCUUACUCCUCUGACGUUAGCGGCGGACGGGUGAGUAACACGUGGAUAACCUACCUAUAAGACUGGGAUAACUUCGGGAAACCGGAGCUAAUACCGGAUAAUAUAUUGAACCGCAUGGUUCAAUAGUGAAAGACGGUUUUGCUGUCACUUAUAGAUGGAUCCGCGCCGCAUUAGCUAGUUGGUAAGGUAACGGCUUACCAAGGCAACGAUGCGUAGCCGACCUGAGAGGGUGAUCGGCCACACUGGAACUGAGACACGGUCCAGACUCCUACGGGAGGCAGCAGUAGGGAAUCUUCCGCAAUGGGCGAAAGCUUGACGGAGCAACGCCGCGUGAGUGAUGAAGGUCUUCGGAUCGUAAAACUCUGUUAUUAGGGAAGAACAAAUGUGUAAGUAACUAUGCACGUCUUGACGGUACCUAAUCAGAAAGCCACGGCUAACUACGUG
rnacentral:rRNA from 1 species